rnacentral:rRNA from 1 species
UACGUAGGGUGCAAGCGUUAAUCGGAAUUACUGGGCGUAAAGCGUGCGCAGGCGGAUUUGUAAGUCUGACGUGAAAUCCCCGGGCUCAACCUGGGAAUUGCGUUGGAGACUGCAAGGCUUGAAUCUGGCAGAGGGGGGUAGAAUUCCACGUGUAGCAGUGAAAUGCGUAGAGAUGUGGAGGAACACCGAUGGCGAAGGCAGCCCCCUGGGUCAAGAUUGACGCUCAUGCACGAAAGCGUGGGGAGCAAACAGG